rnacentral:rRNA from 1 species
GUGAGGAAUUUUCCGCAAUGGGCGAAAGCCUGACGGAGCAAUGCCGCGUGAAGGAUGAAGGCCUAUGGGUUGUAAACUUCUUUUCUCAGAAAAGAAUUAUGACGGUAUCUGAGGAAUAAGCAUCGGCUAACUCUGUGCCAGCAGCCGCGGUAAGACAGAGGAUGCAAGCGUUAUCCGGAAUGAUUGGGAGUAAAGCGUCUGUAGGUUGUUUAAAAAGUAUUCUGUCAAAGAUUAGGGCUUAACCCUAGAUAGGCAGAAUAAACUUUUAAGCUAGAGUUUGGUAGAGGCAGAGGGAAUUCCCGGUGAAGCGGUGAAAUGCGUAGAUAGCGGGAGGAACACCAAAGGCGAAGGCACUCUGCUGGGCCAAUACUAACACUGAGAGACGAAAGCGAGGGGAGCAAAUGGGAUUAGAAACCCCAGUAGUCC